UUUAGAAACAAUAGGAGUGUUGUUUAAUCGAUGUGAAUUACAUUUUAGUAUCAUUUUCUUUGAAUUUAUCUUCAAUAUAUUUAAUUCUUGUGCACUCUAUACACCUGUUUGAUUAGCCUUAGAUAAACACCUUAACGAUAGUAAUUGAUAGAUUGACAUUGGUCUCUGUGGGAUCGAUAAUUUUUUAUAUUACUCUGACGUAUUCCGUAUACUUGAGGAAAGCAUGCAUCAUGUUUCUGGCGCCGUUGUCGGGGACCAAUAACGUCA
rnacentral:lncRNA from 1 species